UUUCCUACGGGACGCAGCAGUGGGGAAUAUUGGGCAAUGGGCGCAAGCCUGACCCAGCAACGCCGCGUGAAGGAAGAAGGCUUUCGGGUUGUAAACUUCUUUUCUCAGGGACGAAGAAAGUGACGGUACCUGAGGAAUAAGCCACGGCUAACUACGUGCCAGCAGCCGCGGUAAUACGUAGGUGGCAAGCGUUAUCCGGAUUUAUUGGGUGUAAAGGGCGUGUAGGCGGGAGCGCAAGUCAGAUGUGAAAACUCAGGGCUCAACCCUGAGCCUGCAUUUGAAACUGUGUUU
rnacentral:rRNA from 1 species